CACGUUUCCUUUCUCGCAGUGCUGUGGAGGCGGCUCUCUACUCCUCACUGUGACCAGCAGAAGGUGGUGAGGACAUGUGACUUGCAGGCAGGGUCUCUGGAGGCCCUGCCCACUUCCUGUUCUCUCUGCUGGACUUUGCGACCACUGAGGGCCACGAUCCUGGGUUGGAGAGCUGGGGCACCAGAGAGCUUGCCUGAGAGAGUGUCCCCAGCAAGGCCACCCGGCCAGCCAGCUGGCAGCAGAACCAUGCAGGCAGGUUCCCUGGAGAUCAGCCUCACUGCCUCGCAGCAGCCGGGAAAGGAAGUCACUCCGCUGACCUGCAGGUCCCCGAGCACAGCAGAUGCGCAUGUCCUGCCAGCUGGUGAGUCUGGGUUGGUUCAUUAUGCAGCCAUAGUUCACAGAGGAGGGCACUCACAGUUAGGAUCAUGGUGCAAUUGCCCACCCUCUCCCAACCUCAAUCUCUCUCUCUCUGGUACUGGGGAUAAAACCCAGGGGGCGCCUGUUUUAUUUUUUAUUUUGAAACAGGAUCUCAUGAAGUUGCUUUUGCUAAGUUGCUGAGGCUGGCUUUGAACUUGCAAUCCUCCUGCCUCAGCCUCCUGAGUCACUGGGAUUUCAGGCAUGUGCCACCACGCCUGGCUCAGUGUCUUUCUAUCCGACAGGCACGAUAAUGAUCUGUCUCUGAGAAGUCACUCAAGUUGUAAAUGAAAUACACGUGAAGUACUGAGCACGUGAAGUACUGAGCAUGUGAAGUACUGAGCACUGUGCCUGACAUGUGCCUGUGUCAUUGUACCGCCAAAUCUUAAGGUCUCAGUGACAGGGUUCGAGUCAGUGGCAGAGCGCCUGCUUAGCAUGUGAGAGGACCUGGGUUCAAUCCCCAGCAUCACAUGCACAAAAAAAUCUUAAUGACAUAUUGAAGCCACCAAGUUCUAAUUCUUGAUUGAUCGAUUUUGUCCCUAGCCCUUAUAUCUUGCUCUUUCUGCUUGUCCACAGCAGAUGGCCAGGAGCUGUGGUCACUGUGGCCAUGUAGCCUCCCUUGCUGGAGAAGUCCCCACCUUGGCACUUUGCCUGGUCACUGUGCCAGGGAGGAGAGACUGGGCAGGGCAGGCACUGGCAACUGAAAGGUCCGCUUGGAAGUCCACGGCUCCAGUCCCACUAAGUUGCUGAGGCUGGCUUUGAACCUGCCAUCCUCCUGCCUCAGCCGCCAGGAGGGUCGGGAGUGCCCCCUUCCUCCUCUGGGAAGCUGCUGGGCUUGGCUUAGUAGGUGGUCAAGGACAGCGUCUUGCUUUUGUUUUGCAGGGGACACUCCCAGGAGCCCCUGGAGGCAGCUUCAAGAGUGGCUGUUCCCUCCUCCCCUGGCCCAGGGGCAAAGGGGGACGUGAGCCCAGGGACAGGUCAGCUACUCAGCACAGGAACAAGGACAGCAGCCCCUCCUGGCCCGGGUGUGCCCACACCUCAGGGCCACGGAAUCGUCCCAGUGACCCUGCAACCCCUUGGGGUGAGCAAGCCAAGGUGGCACCACUCUCCUGGCCCCCCGUGCCCUUCCCACGGCUCUGCACACAUGUGCUCUGAGACCCCAGGCCUCGUGUCCCCUCCAGGCCCCACGACACCUGCCUCCUUCCUUCCUCUGCAGGGCCACCUCAGACUCCCCCUCCAGCCCUGCCUGGCCCCAGCCCCAGGGCGCCAAAGCUUCUGCGGGCAUCUUUGGCUGGUGACAUCCAUCUGGAGAGUGAAGGGCAGACUCUCAAGGGGCCCCACGUGACAACCCUUUCUUCUUUUUUUUCUUUUGGUGCCAGGGAUUGAACCCAGGGGCGCUUGACCACUGAACCACACCCCCAGCCCUUUUUAUUUUUUAUUUUCACACAGGGUCAUGCUCAGUUGCUUAGAGCCUCACUAAGUUGCUGAGGCUGGCCUUGAACCUGCCAUCCUCCUGCCUCAGCCUCCCCAGCUGCUGGGAUUACCGGGGUGCGCCACCGCACCUGGCUCUCCCACUCAUUUUGAAUUGACUUGGCCCCGCAGAGGGUUUCAGUGGGUCCCUCUAAAUGACAGAUAGGAAUCUUUUGCCAUUAGCCUCGCCAUUUUUUGUGUACCUGGGCCUUCAGGUGGGGCUCGCCUUUUCUUUCUUCAAUUUAUGACACUCCUUUGUUCAGUGAAUCUUCAGUAACCUCCUGCUGUGUGGGGGGCCCUGGGUCAGACGGUGGGGACCCAGGUGAGCCCUGCAGGGAGCGCCAACAGGUGAGGGCCCAGAUGGAGAUCCAAGCAGCACACAGGUCCACUGCGUUGUGUGAAACUGCAAUGAAGGCUUUGGAGGAGACCAAUUAAUUGCUUAUGGAGACUUGACACAAAAGUGAGUCUGAGUCUAUCCACGACAUCUGAAGCUUUUCCUAGGAUAAUAAAACAACAACACAAUCAUAAUAACCCCUAGAAGCCCGUGUGACUGGCCUCCAAAGCCGCACCCAGUGCUUCCCAGGAAGGAGCCUAUUCUCUUGCAGGUGAGCUGCAGAGGUCCCGG
rnacentral:lncRNA from 1 species